rnacentral:rRNA from 1 species
CCAAUAGCGUAUAUUAAAGUUGCUGCAGUUAAAAAGCUCGUAGUUGAAUUUCGGGAUCGAUAUAUCGGUCGUGCCUCGGUACGUACUGGUAUUUUCGGUUUCUACCUUCUGACGAACCUUGAUGUCAUUAAUUUGGUGUCUUGGGGAAUCAGGACUGUUACUUUGAAAAAAUUAGAGUGUUUAAAGCAGGCUCACGCUUGAAUACAUUAGCAUGGAAUAAUGAAAUAGGACGUUUGAUUCUAUUUUGUUGGUUUCUAGGAUCGACGUAAUGAUUAAUAGGGAUAGUUGGGGGCAUUAGUAUUCAAUUGUCAGAGGUGAAAUUCUUGGAUUUAUUGAAGACUAACUACUGCGAAAGCAUUUGCCAAGGAUGUUUUCAUUAAUCAAGAACGAAAGUUAGGGGAUCGAAGACGAUCAGAUACCGUCGUAGUCUUAACCAUAAACUAUGCCGACUAGGGAUCGGAUGAUGUUAAUUUUUUAAUGACUCAUUCGGCGCCUUACG